AUGGCUCAGGAUGAACGCUGGCGGCGUGCUUAAUACAUGCAAGUCGAACGAAGCACCUGCGACGGAUCCCUUCGGGGUGAAGAUGCUUGUGACUGAGUGGCGGACGGGUGAGUAACGCGUGGGUAACCUGCCUUAUGCAGGGGGACAACAGUCGGAAACGACUGCUAAUACCGCAUAAGCGCACGGCACCGCAUGGUGCAGUGUGAAAAGAUUUAUCGGCAUAAGAUGGACCCGCGUCUGAUUAGGUAGUUGGUGAGGUAACGGCCCACCAAGCCGACGAUCAGUAGCCGACUUGAGAGAGUGAUCGGCCACAUUGGGACUGAGACACGGCCCAGACUCCUACGGGAGGCAGCAGUAGGGAAUAUUGCACAAUGGGGGGAACCCUGAUGCAAGCGACGCCGCGUGAGUGAUGAAGUAUUUCGGUACGUAAAGCUCUAUCAGCAGGGAAGAUAAUGACGGUACCUGACUAAGAAGCCCCGGCUAACUACGUGCCAGCAGCGGC
rnacentral:rRNA from 1 species